GACGAACGCUGGCGGCGUGCAUAACACAUGCAAGUCACGGGGGCCAGCAAUGGCAACCGGCGAACGGGUGCGUAACACGUAAGCGACCUACCUCGAUGUGGGGCAUAGCCGGCCUAACGGCCGGGUAAUUCCGCAUGUGAUCCUUGAGGGGCAUAUCUCGGGGAUGAAACCAGUAAUGGGCAUUGAGAGGGGCUUGCGGCCUAUCAGCUUGUUGGCGGGGUAACGGCNCACCAAGGCGACGACGGGUAGCUGGUCUGAGAGGAUGGCCAGCCACAUUGGGACUGAGAAACGGCCCAGACUCCUACGGGAGGCAGCAGUGGGGAAUCUUGCGCAAUGGACGAAAGUCUGACGCAGCCACGCCGCGUGAGUGAAGAA
rnacentral:rRNA from 1 species